rnacentral:rRNA from 1 species
CAGCACCUCAAGUGGUCAGGAUGAUUAUUGGGCCUAAAGCAUCCGUAGCCUGCUUUGUAAGUUUUCGGUUAAAUCCAUACGCUUAACGUAUGGGCUGCCGGGAAUACUGCAAAGCUAGGGAGUGGGAGAGGUAGACGGUACUCGGUAGGGAGGGGUAAAAUCCUUUGAUCUAUUGAUGACCACCUGUGGCGAAGGCGGUCUACCAGAACACGUCCGACGGUGAGGGAUGAAAGCUGGGGGAGCAAACCGGAUUAGAUACCCGAGUAGUCC